rnacentral:rRNA from 1 species
UUGACCUACGGGGCGCAGCAGUGAGGAAUAUUGGUAAAUGGGGGGGAGCCUGAACCAGCCAAGCCGCGUGAAGGAAGAAGGCGCCAGGCGUCGUAAACUUCUUUUGUCGGGGAACAAAGGGCGCCACGCGUGGCGUUGUGAGUGUACCCGAAGAAAAAGCAUCGGCUAACUCCGUGCCAGCAGCCGCGGUAAUACGGAGGAUGCGGGCGUUAUCCGGAUUUAUUGGGUUUAAAGGGUGCGUAGGCGGUCAGGAAAGUCAGCGGUAAAAGCCCGGGGCCCAAACCC